rnacentral:rRNA from 1 species
CAGUGGGGAAUAUUGGACAAUGGGCGAAAGCCUGAUCCAGCAACGCCGCGUGAGGGAUGACGGCCUUCGGGUUGUAAACCUCUUUCAGCAGGGACGAAGCGCAAGUGACGGUACCUGCAGAAGAAGCACCGGCCAACUACGUGCCAGCAGCCGCGGUAAUACGUAGGGUGCGAGCGUUGUCCGGAAUUAUUGGGCGUAAAGGGCUCGUAGGCGGUUUGUCACGUCGGGAGUGAAAACUCAGGGCUUAACCCUGAGCCUGCUUCCGAUACGGGCAGACUAGAGGUAUGCAGGGGAGAACGGAAUUCCUGGUGUAGCGGUGAAAUGCGCAGAUAUCAGGAGGAACACCGGUGGCGAAGGCGGUUCUCUGGGCAUUACCUGACGCUGAGGAGCGAAAGUGUGGGGAGCGAACAGGAUUAGA